GUCAUAAGUGUCCAGUCUUGUGACGGCGUACCUUUUGUAUAAUGGGUCAUCGACUUGGUCUAUCCAGCAAGCUUAAGCCGUUAGGUGUAGGCGCAGCGAAAGCGAGUCUUAAUAGGGCGUCUCAGUUGGAUGGAUCAGACCCGAAACCGAGUGAUCUAGGCAUGACCAGGAUGAAGGUACGGUAACACGUACUGGAGGUCCGAACCCACACCUGUUGAAAAAGGUCGGGAUGAGUUGUGCCUAGGGGUGAAAGGCCAAUCAAACUCGGAGAUAGCUGGUUCUCCGCGAAAUCUAUUUAGGUAGAGCGUCAUCCGAAUACCCCGGGGGGUAGAGCACUGGAUGGGUAAUGGGGCCCCACAGGCUUACUGAUCCUAACCAAACUCCGAAUACCCGGGAGUACUAGAUGGCAGACACACUGCGGAUGCUAACGUCCGUAGUGAAGAGGGAAACAACCCUGACCUCCAGCUAAGGCCCCCAAUUCAUGGCUAAGUGGGAAAGCAGGUGAGACGGCCAAAACAACCAGGAGGUUGGCUUAGAAGCAGCCAUCCUUUAAAGAUAGCGUAACAGCUCACUGGUCUAAUCAAGCUGUCUUGCGGCGAAGAUGUAACGGGGCUCAAGCCAUGAGCCGAAGCUGAGGACGCGAGAGCGUGGUAGCGGAGCGUGGUGUGACAUAGUCUCAUUCCUCCUUCGAUCCUUCGGGAUCAUUGGAGGAGAGAGGCUUGCUGAGAAGCCGGACCGUAAGGUUUACCGGUGGAGCGAUCACCAGCGAGAAUGAUGACAUGAGUAGCGACAAGGAGUGUGAGAGACACUCCCGCCGAAAGUCCAAGGGUUCCUGCUUAAAGCUAAUCUGAGCAGGGUAAGCCGGCCCCUAAGGCGAGGCCGAAAGGCGUAGUCGAUGGGAACCAGGUUAAUAUUCCUGGGCCAGGAGAUGGUGACGGAUUGUCCGAGUCGUAUGUCCCUUAUCGGAUUGGGGCAUAUAUGCGGCAGUCCCUGGAAAUAGCCCUCCUUCGGACCGUACCCGAAACCGACACAGGUGGACUGGUAGAGAAUACCAAGGCGCUUGAGAGAACGACGUUGAAGGAACUCGGCAAAAUACCUCCGUAAGUUCGCGAGAAGGAGGCCCGGGCUAUGAUGUCCGGGGGCACAAACCAGGGGGUGGCGACUGUUUACUAAAAACACAGGGCUCUGCGAAGCCGCAAGGCGACGUAUAGGGUCUGACGCCUGCCCGGUGCCUGAAGGUUAAAAGGAGGGGUGCAAGCUCCGAAUUGAAGCCCAGGUAAACGGCGGCCGUAACUAUAACGGUCCUAAGGUAGCGAAAUUCCUUGUCGGGUAAGUUCCGACCUGCACGAAUGGCGUAACGACUUCCCCGCUGUCUCCAACGUCGACUCAGCGAAAUUGAAUUGCCGGUCAAGAUGCCGGCUACCCGCGGUUAGACGGAAAGACCCCGUGCACCUUUACUACAGCUUCAGACUGGCACCAGGCCAGGCAUGUGCAGGAUAGGUGGUAGGCUUUGAAACCGGGACGCCAGUUCCGGUGGAGCCACCCUUGAGAUACCACCCUUGCCUCGCUUGGUGUCUAACCGCGAACCGUCAUCCGGUUCCGGGACCCUCUGUGGCGGGUAGUUUGACUGGGGCGGUCGCCUCCUAAAGCGUAACGGAGGCGCGCGAAGGUUGGCUCAGAGCGGUCGGAAAUCGCUCGUUGAGUGCAAUGGCAGAAGCCAGCCUGACUGCGAGACUGACAAGUCGAGCAGAGUCGAAAGACGGCCAUAGUGAUCCGGUGGUCCCAAGUGGGAGGGCCAUCGCUCAACGGAUAAAAGGUACGCCGGGGAUAACAGGCUGAUACUGCCCAAGAGUCCAUAUCGACGGCAGUGUUUGGCACCUCGAUGUCGGCUCAUCUCAUCCUGGGGCUGGAGCAGGUCCCAAGGGUACGGCUGUUCGCCGUUUAAAGAGGUACGUGAGCUGGGUUUAGAACGUCGUGAGACAGUUCGGUCCCUAUCUGCCGUGGGUGUAGGAGACUUGAGAGGAGUUGACCCUAGUACGAGAGGACCGGGUUGAACGAUCCACUGGUGGACCUGUUGUUGCGCCAGCAGCAGUGCAGGGUAGCUAUGAUCGGACAGGAUAACCGCUGAAGGCAUCUAAGCGGGAAGCCCCCCUCAAAACAAGGUCUCCCCGAGGGCCGUGGUAGACGACCACGUCGAUAGGCUGGAGGUGUAAGCGUGGCAACACGCUCAGCUGACCAGUACUAAUGGCCCGACAGGCUUGGUUCGAUCAAGCGCGAGAAGGGCGUUUGGUGGAUGCCUUGGCAGUAAGAGGCGAUGAAGGACGUGAUACUCUGCGAUAAGCUUGGGGGAGCCGAGAAUAGGCUUUGAUCCCAGGAUCUCCGAAUGGGGCAACCCACCUGAAUGUUCGUUAUUAUUGCUCUUCGGAGCAGCUAAUAACGUUCAUGACCAGGUACUCAUUAUCUGAAUAUAUAGGGUUUUGAGAGCAAACCCGGGGAACUGAAACAUCUAAGUACCCGGAGGAAAGGACAUCAAUAGAGACUCCGUUAGUAGUGGCGAGCGAACGCGGACCAGCCGAACCUUGAGCGUGACCGGAAAUACCUGGAAAGGUAUGCCAGAGCGGGUGACAGCCCCGUACGGGAAGCGUGAUGGGACGUAUCAAGUAGGGCGGGACACGUGAAAUCCUGUCUGAAGAUCGGGGGACCACCCCCGAAGGCUAAGUACUCCUUACUGACCGAUAGCGAACCAGUACCGUGAGGGAAAGGUGAAAAGCACCCCGACGAGGGGAGUGAAACAGUACCUGAAACCGAGCGCCUACAAUCAGUCGGAGCUUGACUGGACUCUUAUGACGAUCUGAG
rnacentral:rRNA from 1 species